rnacentral:piRNA from 1 species
GAGUUUGAGACCAGCCUGGCCAACAUGGU